rnacentral:piRNA from 1 species
AUCUGCCUAUUCCUUCAUGUAGGACGAGG